rnacentral:rRNA from 1 species
GAUGAACGCUGGCGGCGUGCCUAAUACAUGCAAGUCGAACGAAGAUCUAGCUUGCUAGAUCUUAGUGGCGAAACGGGUGAGUAAUACAUAAAUAAUCUGCCCAUUGGACUGGGAUAACUAUUGGAAACGAUAGCUAAUACCGGAUAGGUGAUUUGAAGGCAUCUUCGAAUCAUUAAAGUAGGGUCACUACACCAAUGGAUGAGUUUAUGGCGCAUUAGUUAGUUGGCGGGGUAACGGCCCACCAAGACGAUGAUGCGUAGCCGACCUGAGAGGGUGACCGGCCACACUGGGACUGAGACACGGCCCAGACUCCUACGGGAGGCAGCAGUAGGGAAUUUUCGGCAAUGGGCGCAAGCCUGACCGAGCAACGCCGCGUGAGUGAUUAAGGCCUUCGGGUCGUAAAGCUCUGUCCUUGGGGAAGAAGGCGAAAGCUUGACGGUACCCAAGAAGAAAGCCCCGGCUAACUACGUG